AUUGAACGCUGGCGGCAUGCCUUACACAUGCAAGUCGAACGGCAGCACGGGAGCAAUCCUGGUGGCGAGUGGCGAACGGGUGAGUAAUAUAUCGGAACGUGCCCAGUCGUGGGGGAUAACGUAGCGAAAGCUACGCUAAUACCGCAUACGAUCUAUGGAUGAAAGCGGGGGAUCGCAAGACCUCGCGCGAUUGGAGCGGCCGAUAUCAGAUUAGGUAGUUGGUGAGGUAAAGGCUCACCAAGCCGACGAUCUGUAGCUGGUCUGAGAGGACGACCAGCCACACUGGGACUGAGACACGGCCCAGAUUCCUACGGGAGGCAGCAGUGGGGAAUUUUGGACAAUGGGCGCAAGCCUGAUCCAGCAAUGCCGCGUGCAGGAUGAAGGCCUUCGGGUUGUAAACUGCUUUUGUACGGAACGAAACGGUGAGCUCUAAUACAGUUUGCUAAUGACGGUACCGUAAGAAUAAGCACCGGCUAACUACGUG
rnacentral:rRNA from 1 species